UACGGAGGGUGCAAGCAUUAAUCGGAGUUAUUGGGCGUAAAGGGCGCGUAGGCGGAUGGAAAAGUCUGAUCUGAAAUACCGAGGCUCAACCUCGGUGCUGGAUUGGAAACUCUUUGUCUAGAGGGUUGGUGGAGAAAACGGAAUUCCAAGUGUAGCGGUGAAAUGCGUAGAUAUUUGGAAGAACACCUGUGGCGAAAGCGGUUUUCUAACUAACACCUGACGCUGAGGCGCGAGAGCAAGGGGAGCAAACAGG
rnacentral:rRNA from 1 species